AGGGAUGUAAUUUAAUGGUAGACUGCCGGUCUCCAAAACCGGAUGUAGGAGUUCGAAUCUCUUCAUCCCUA
rnacentral:tRNA from 1 species